rnacentral:rRNA from 1 species
AACGAACGCUGGCGGCAUGCCUAACACAUGCAAGUCGAACGAGACCUUCGGGUCUAGUGGCGCACGGGUGCGUAACGCGUGGGAACCUGCCCUUAGGUUCGGAAUAACUCCCCGAAAGGGGUGCUAAUACCGGAUAAUGUCUUCGGACCAAAGAUUUAUCGCCUUUGGAUGGGCCCGCGUUGGAUUAGCUAGUUGGUAGGGUAAAAGCCUACCAAGGCGACGAUCCAUAGCUGGUCUGAGAGGAUGAUCAGCCACACUGGGACUGAGACACGGCCCAGACUCCUACGGGAGGCAGCAGUGGGGAAUAUUGGACAAUGGGCGAAAGCCUGAUCCAGCAAUGCCGCGUGAGUGAUGAAGGCCUUAGGGUUGUAAAGCUCUUUUACCCGGGACGAUAAUGACAGUACCGGGAGAAUAAGCCCCGGCUAACUCCGUG